GACGAACGCUGGCGGCGUGCUUAACACAUGCAAGUCGAACGGAAAGGCCCUGCUUUUGUGGGGUGCUCGAGUGGCGAACGGGUGAGUAACACGUGAGUAACCUGCCCUUGACUUUGGGAUAACUUCAGGAAACUGGGGCUAAUACCGGAUAGGAGCUCCUGCUGCAUGGUGGGGGUUGGGAGGUUUCGGCGGUUGGGGAUGGACUCGCGGCUUAUCAGCUUGUUGGUGGGGUAGUGGCUUACCAAGGCUUUGACGGGUAGCCGGCCUGAGAGGGUGACCGGCCACAUUGGGACUGAGAUACGGCCCAGACUCCUACGGGAGGCAGCAGUGGGGAAUAUUGCACAAUGGGCGGAAGCCUGAUGCAGCAACGCCGCGUGCGGGAUGACGGCCUUCGGGUUGUAAACCGCUUUCGCCUGUGACGAAGCGUGAGUGACGGUAAUGGGUAAAGAAGCACCGGCUAACUACGUG
rnacentral:rRNA from 1 species